GGCGAGUGAAGCGGCAAAAGCUCAAAUUUGAAAUCCCCCCGGGGAGUUGUAAUUUGAAGAUUGNNUCUUGGAGGCGACCGUGUAUAUGUUCCUUNGAACAGGACGUCACAGAGGGUGAGAAUCCCGUGCGGCACGGCCCCCGGCUCCUUAUAAGGCGCUCUCGACGAGUCGAGUUGUUUGGGAAUGCAGCUCAAAGUGGGUGGUAAAUUCCAUCUAAAGCUAAAUACAGGCGAGAGACCGAUAGCGAACAAGUACAGUGAUGGAAAGAUGAAAAGCACUUUGAAAAGAGAGUGAAACAGCACGUGAAAUUGUUGAAAGGGAAGGGCAUGCCGUCAGAUUGUCAGUGUGGNUAAGAAGCGGGGUACAAAGACUGUGGAACGUGGCCCUCGGGUGUUAUAGCCGCAGUUCAUGCCCCGUCUCNUCNGAGGC
rnacentral:rRNA from 1 species